CGCCGAUUUGCAAUUGUAAAUACCAUUUAGCCCUUUUUCAUACAGUUUGAUAAUGGUUGUUUUAUCAUUAAAAAUACUGUAAGACUACUGAGAAAAAUGAUGCUUACGUAAGGUGAAGUACGAUUGUAUCCAACCCGUUCAGAUGUGGUUGCGAAGCGAAAUCUGCAGUUCAAGACAAAAUUUUCAAAACCAUCGGGAAAUCUACAAUGGUAAUUAAAUUUUCACCGUAAACUUGGAUAAAACUAGCGACAAGUCCAGCGUAGCUUGAUAUACCGGCGGCUAGAUGAGGAACGGUAGUUCAACUUCAAAAAGAGCGACGUUGGAACUUGAAAAUUCCGUGUUUAUUUAAUUCCACCAGAAGAGAAAUUACCGAGUUUAAUAUCAAAUCGAGUGAAAUGCGACAAAAUAUAGAAUCGUAUGGCUUCUUGAUUCAUAAUCUAGGAAACAACAAGUUUUUACGGUAGACGGAUGAUAACUAAAACUAUGGGAUUAUCCAUAUAACACUCUCGCUGAGGAAGCCACUAAAAAACGGUAUUAUGUGCACUUUAGUUAACGAUGACCGACAAGCAAAAUCUGGAGAUAAAAAAAUAAUAUUAGUCGUGCAUCAAUAACAUGAUUACAACAAUUCAUUCAAUCAUCUACAUAAUCACAGUACUACUACGAUUGGCCGCAGACGUUUGCCGAAAACUUAACUAACAAGCUCAUACUGACCAAAUUGAUUAUCGGAUUGAUACGGAUACCUUACUGAGAACGCGCACCCUCUCAAGAGUAUGUAUUUUGAUUGCCACCAGGCUAAGCAAGUGUCUUAAACAAUAAGCUUUCUCGUGAACUAAAUUCAAUGCAUUUGAAUAAGUUAUUCAUCACACAGCACAAUCAACUAAUUCGCAAAAUAAUCAAAAAUCAAGACCAUUGAAUUGCUCAAUGCAUUAUUUCGGAAUAAUUUAUUAUCUCGGUGGUCCUUCGGAUUGCUAAACACGCAUCGACUUAGAAGGAUCAAUAUAAUAUUAGUGACCAGCCAGAACUGUCUUCUGUUCAAGAUGCACUAACUCGUUUGAAUGCCGAUCAUCUAACGGAUCAUUUGGAUACACUAAUUAUUCCAACCCGGCUUGAUACUUGAUUAACAGCAUGUGCUCCUGGAACGAAGGACGUAACCAUCAAUUGGCACCGCUUACGAAUUGGGAUUAGCCGAUUUGAAGAAAUAAUCUACUCAAGACCUUCCAAUAAUGAUUCACUAGAUCAAGUACGACAUCAGCAACAUUCCGACUCAGAUUAGCGAAUAUUAUGGCUCAACAGUCUAAUGAUAACACAACAAGGUAAUGUUUUUUUUUUAUUACUAUUAUUAUUAUUAUUAUUU